UUUGACCUCAAAUCAGGUAGGACUACCCGCUGAACUUAAGCAUAUCAAUAAGCGGAGGAAAAGAAACUAACAAGGAUUCCCUUAGUAACUGCGAGUGAAGAGGGAAAAGCUCAAAUUUGAAAUCUGGCAGUCUAAGGCUGUCCGAGUUGUAAUCUAGAGAAGUGUUUUCCGUGCUGGACCGUGUAUAAGUCCUUUGGAACAAGGCGUCAUAGAGGGUGAGAAUCCCGUCUACGACACGGACUCCCAGUGCUCUGUGAUACACUCUCAACGAGUCGAGUUGUUUGGGAAUGCAGCUCAAAAUGGGUGGUAAAUUCCAUCUAAAGCUAAAUACAGGCGAAAGACCGAUAGCGAACAAGUACCGUGAGGGAAAGAUGAAAAGCACUUUGGAAAGAGAGUUAAACAGUACGUGAAAUUGUUGAAAGGGAAACGCUUGAAGUCAGUCGCGUCUUCAGAAACUCAGCCUGGCUUCUGCCUGGUGUACUUUUCUGUUGGACGGGCCAGCAUCAGUUUCGGCCGCCAGAAAAAGGUGGGAGGAAGGUGGCACCUUCUAGGUGUGUUAUAGCCUCUCAUCGUAUGUGGUGGCUGGGACUGAGGACCGCAGCACGCCUCUAAUGGCCGGGGUUCGCCCACGUAACGUGCUUAGGAUGCUGGCGUAAUGGCUUUAAACGACCCGUCUUGAAACACGGACCAAGGAGUCUAACAUGCCUGCGAGUAUUUGGGUGGUAAACCCAUAUGCGGAAUGAAAGUGAACAGUUGGGACUUCUGUCAUGGAAGGCACCGACGCCCGGACCAGACCUAUUGUGACGGAUCCGAGGUAGAGCAUGUAUGUUGGGACCCGAAAGAUGGUGAACUAUGCCUGAGUAGGGUGAAGCCAGAGGAAACUCUGGUGGAGGCUCGUAGCGAUUCUGACGUGCAAAUCGAUCGUCGAACUUGGGUAUAGGGGCGAAAGACUAAUCGAAC
rnacentral:rRNA from 1 species